UACGUAGGGGGCAAGCGUUGUCCGGAUUUACUGGGCGUAAAGAGCGUGUAGGCGGCCAGAAAAGUCCGCUGUGAAAACUCGAGGCUCAACUUCGAGCUGUCGGUGGAAACUUUCUGGCUAGAGUCCGGAAGAGGAGAAUGGAAUUCCUGGUGUAGCGGUGAAAUGUGCAGAUAUCAGGAAGAACACCCGUGGCGAAGGCGGUUCUCUGGGACGGUACUGACGCUGAGACGCGAAAGCGUGGGGAGCGAACAGG
rnacentral:rRNA from 1 species